rnacentral:rRNA from 1 species
CCUACGGGUGGCUGCAGUGAGGAAUAUUGGUCAAUGGGCGCGAGCCUGAACCAGCCAAGGAGCGUGAAGGAUGACUGAACGACGGGUGGUAAACUUCUGGUAUAAAGGAAUAAAGUGAGGCACGUGUGCCUUGUUGUAGGUACUUUAUGAAUAAGGAUCGGCUAACUCCGUGCCAGCAGCCGCGGUAAUACGGAGGAUCCGAGCGUUAUCCGGAUUUAUUGGGUUUAAAGGGAGCGUAGAUGGGUUGUUAAGUCAGUUGUGAAAGUUUGCGGCUCAACCGUAAAAUUGCAAUUGAUACUGGCAGCCUUGAGUACAGUUGAGGUAGGCGGAAUUCGUGGUGUAGCGGUGAAAUGCUUAGAUAUCACGAAGAACUCCGAUUGUGAAGGCAGCUUACUAAACUGCCACUGACAUUGAUGCUCGAAAGUGUGGGUAUCAAACAGGAUUAGAUACCCGAGUAGUC